CCUACGGGUGGCAGCAGUGGGGAAUAUUGCACAAUGGGGGAAACACUGAUGCAGCGACGCCGCGUGAAGGAAGAAGUAUUUCGGUAUGUAAACUUCUAUCAGCAGGGAAGAAAAUGACGGUACGUGACUAUGAAGACCCGGCUAACUACGUGCUAGCAGCCGCGGGAAUACGUAGGGGGCAAGCGUUAUCCGGAUUUACUGGGUGUAAAGGGAACGUAGGCGGUUGAGAAAGACAGAAGUGAAAGCCCGGGUCUCAACUCCGGGACUGCUUUUGAAACUGUUGAACUAGAUUGCAGGAGAGGUAAGGAGAAUUCCUAGUGUAGCGGUGAAAUGCGUAGAUAUUAGGAGGAACACCAGUAGCGAAGGCGGCUAACUGGACUGUAAAUGACGCUGAGGCUCGAAAGCGUGGGGAGCAAACAGGAUUAGAUACCCCAGUAGUC
rnacentral:rRNA from 1 species